GGUUACGGGCGGCCGCCGCGGCCUCGCAGCGGAGCCGUUUGGGCGGGAGCCGGCGAGGGAGCAGCGGCCGCAGGGUGUAUUGAGAAUAAUCAUCAGCCUUAACAAGGAUUGAUUGUGUGCUCCUCAUCCUCAUCCUCAUCCUCCUGGUUUGGUAUUAAGCGGAAAAAGCUUUGGCCGUCGCGUUGGGGAGGCGAAGAGGUGGAAGAACGUCCCUUUCAAGUUCUUUUCUGCAAGAAAGGAGAUAACGACUGGAUGCUGUCCCAUUUUCAGCCUAGGAAUUGUUUGCCAGACUUGAAUUACAGGAAUUGCUGUGGUGAGGCAGAGCAGCUCCAUUAACUGGGAGCUGGCAGGGGCUGGGGGAGGCUUCGCACGCCGGGGCCCCGCGUUGUGCUCCCGUCAGGAACGAUUAAAGGAGCUGUUUGUGAUGGAAACAAAACCAAAUUGGGCUGAUGCUUUAAGGGGAAAUAAAACAGGGAAGAAUAACUUUA